rnacentral:rRNA from 1 species
AAUGAACGUUGGCGGCGUGGAUUAGGCAUGCAAGUCGAGCGAGAACCGGUUCUUCGGAAUCGGGGAAAGCGGCAAACGGGGUAGUAAUGUGUCGGUACGUGCCCUCAGGUCGGGGAUAGCCAGGGGAAACCCUGAUUAAUACCCGAUAAUCUCGAGAGAGCAAAGGUCCGCUGCCGGAGGAGCGGCCGACAUGGUAUCAGGUAGUUGGUGAGGUAAUGGCCCACCAAGCCUUAGACGCCUAGGGGGCGUGAGAGCGCGACCCCCACCACUGGGACUGAGAUACUGCCCAGACACCUACGGGAGGCAG